CAUCUAUAUUUCAACUUUGCUCAGGUAUGCGUCCUGUAUUAUCGAUUUUGAGAUAUUAGUCCUUCAUGCAUUUGAUGAAAGAACUCCUAUGAGUUAUUUCAUUUCUCAAAUACAAUUCCUUAUUUCUAUUAGUCUAUGAGUUUGUCCAAUAUGCCAUCUUUGUUUUCUUAUUUAUAAACAAUGAAAAGGCUGCUGCUUUGAUCAGAUUUUACCAACUGUAACACAUAAUUGGAUAGCUUAUUGCAUUGUAACAUGUAUAACAUUGGAUGGAGCUCAUAGUGCUGUUUUGUCCUGGUUAAAAUUUAUGCCUUCAACCUAAGAACCAGAAAAUUGAGCAGAAAACAUAAAGAGAAUGAGAUAUGUAUGUCAACCUUGCCUGGAACAUUACGGUGGACAUUUCUUUUGAUCAUGUUUAAGCCUCCUCAUAGAAGUG
rnacentral:misc_RNA from 1 species